GAAGUUAAUGCUUUAUUUACAAACGAUAUAACUUGGAAUAUACGUAGACAGAGUGUAACUUUUGACAGAACAGGGCUAAAAGACGAUUUCUUUCUUUUUGACACUGAACUUUCGACUUUUCAUUUUGGUAAAGCAAGCGCUUAUAUAUGUUUGGGAAGAAAAAAUAAAUUUUUCUUUUGCUAUGUAAAUAAGGUUUUGGAUGCUGACACUUUUGCGCCAUAUACUAAAUUUGGCUGCUUUUAUAGUAAUAAAAUUGCUUGUGGAAAUGCCUACUUGGAUUUUAUGAGAAUUUUUCGUUGGGUGGCACUUUUGUCAUAAAGCCGAACAAUUCCAUAAUUGUCGGUGUCCGAAGCGAGCCUCUUCUUGAUCGUCGCUCGCUUGAAUUCCCACUAGAGCAUCGCGGUAAAUUUCAUCGUCUGCGCACUGGUCAGUCUAAAUGGCCGCCGGACUACUUCUUGAGUUUCUGCGGAUUUGUUUCUGGCCGUUUCCUGUCCGCCGCUUAUGUCCAGUCCAUGCUCUUACCGUUCGAACGAUCCCUUCACCGAUUAUUUUUGGGUGGAGAAUUUUCUCACCAAUCAGAUCGACCGCUUUUUUUUUUUCGAACUUAGAAAGUGGGAAAGGGUCUUCGUGUUCCAGUCUUGCGCUGCCUUUUUAUAAAAAAAAUCCCACCAAUGUUUUAGCGGUGGGCGUUUUAUGGCAGCCGCUGAGAAAUUUAGCUUUAAAAUUAAUAUUAGAUUCUCGAGGCAUUAAUUUAUUUUUUUAUAGUUUCAUUUUAAUUUCUGGUUAUUACUUAUAAUAUGAAAGGGGUUUGCGGUGCACUGGUUGCCUUGCAAUCGCGCCGGUCUUCCAUAACUUUUACAUUGGCCGGAUCAACUCAUAGUGUUGUGGAGCGAAGCUCUCUUAUACUUGGCUGCUUUUUUUCAAUCGACAGCUCUU